GAGUUUGAUCAUGGCUCAGAUUGAACGCUGGCGGUAUGCUUAACACAUGCAAGUCGAACGGUAACAGGAGAGAGCUUGCUCUUUUGCUGACGAGUGGCGGACGGGUGAGUAAUGCGUAGGAAUCUGCCUAGUAGUGGGGGACAACGUGUGGAAACGCACGCUAAUACCGCAUACGCCCUACGGGGAAAGCGGGGAGUCUUCGGACCUCGCGCUAUUAGAUGAGCCUACGUUAGAUUAGCUAGUUGGUGGGGUAAAGGCCUACCAAGGCGACGAUCUAUAGCUGGUCUGAGAGGAUGAUCAGCCACACUGGGACUGAGACACGGCCCAGACUCCUACGGGAGGCAGCAGUGGGGAAUAUUGGACAAUGGGCGAAAGCCUGAUCCAGCAAUACCGCGUGUGUGAAGAAGGCCUGAGGGUUGUAAAGCACUUUCAAUUGUGAAGAAAUAUUUAAGGUUAAUAACCUUAAAUUUUAGUACGUUAACUUUAAAAGUAAGCACCGGCUAACUCCGUGCCA
rnacentral:rRNA from 1 species